GGAGAGUUACAGCACUUCUUUAACCGAUUUCAUAGCGUCAACAUUAAAGCAGCUGUUUAAAUACAGCGCUUGAUGUGUUCAUUAAAUAUGAGGCAAAGAAAGAUCCGCAGAGCUGUGCGUCACUCUCUGCGUCACAGAUGUGAAAGUGAAAGUAAGUUGUUGGGAGAGGCGCAGAGACGGAGACACGCAGAGGAUGAACUGUCAGUGAACGCCGGUCUUCAGUGUCCUACAGGGUUUCCUGUUGAUGUAGCUGAGCUAUGGAGUCCUGUAGCCCUGCUCACUGUGUCCUGAUCUUACUGAUCAUCACAUUCACUGCUGUGUAUGUGUCAGCUGUUCCUCUAGUGAAGGUGAAGCUUCAUGACUCUGCUACUCUGCCCUGCUCUGAGACAUGUUCUGGUUUGGUCAGAUGGACUGAGUUCAGUAAUCGCACUGAUGUUCUGGCUGAGUGUGAUCAGACUUCAUGUAGAUCAGUGAAGGAGGGAUAUCAGAUGAUCCAUGAUCAGUACCUGAAGGGAGAUUUCUCUCUCACCAUCACUGACGCUGAUUUCAGUAUGAUGGGCACGUACACAUGUGAGUGCGGUAAUUCUGAACUCUGUGAUGUGGAGCUUCAGGUUGAGGACACACCACAGGCAGGGAACAAUAUUUCUGGCAGCAGUCAUACUAAAGGAACGUCCCACGGAGCUCCACAGGUGUCUGUUCCAGGGUGGGCGACUGCUCUGAUACUUCUCACAGUGGCGCUGGUGAUUCUGGUGUUGGUGUUGGUGUUUUUUAUGAGGAGCCACAAUCAGAGCAUCAGAAGUACAAAUGAGCAGAUUAACAGCAUAGAAAAGACCCUCACAGACAGACUUGCUUCUCUGGAGAGCACUGUUGAGCAGAAUCGUGACCAGAUUAAGAGCACAGAAGAUACCCUCAAAAAGAGACUUGAUUCUAUGGAGAAGACUGGGAAGCAGAACAGUGAGCAGAACAGUGACCAGAUUAACAACAUAGAAAAGACCCUCAAAGAGAAACUUGCUUCUUUGGAGAGGACUGUGGGGCAGAACAGUGACCAGAUUAAGAGCACAGAAGAUACCCUCAAAAAGAGACUUGAUUCUUUGGAGAAGACUGGGAAGCAGAACAGUGACCAGAUUAACAGCAUAGAAAAGACCCUUAAAGAGAAACUUGCUUCUUUGGAGAGCACUGUUGUCCAGAAUCGUGACCAGAUUAAGAGCACAGAAGAUACCCUCAAAAAGAGACUUGAUUCUAUGGAGAAGACUGGUGUCCAGAAUUGUGACCAGAUUAAGAGCACAGAAGAUACCCUCAAAAAGAGACUUGAUUCUAUGGAGAAGACUGGAAACACCGUAAAGACCCCGACACUCUGACACCCCGACCAGCAGCAGCUCAGCUGUGUCUGAUUUCAUCUUCAGCUGAUUGCAGAGCAUCUGAAGCAGCUGUAAGGCAGCAUGUUCACCCUUCAGCUCCUGAUAGAAGUGUGGAUGAGUUCCUCUCAGAGCUCACAGCUCACUAUCACACACACAGUGUUUAUAUAGAAGUGGACGUGUAGGAGUGAACCAGUGAUGAUCAGCCAGCAGCAGCUCUGACUGUUUAAAAGUGAUCAGGUAUUGAUUGUGUAAUAGAGCACUGAGUUGGCUGUAGAUGGAUCACUGUGCUGUGGAUCUAAAUGCCUUUACACACUGAACCAGAUAUAAAAAUAAACACAAAUGUUAAACAUCUAAACUGUAAAAUGAACAAACGGUCAGAAGGUCUGUGUAGAAGAUCCUGCGCUCCUCACUCUCUACUCUGUAAAAGCUAAAGGAGAGCAGAGAGCUUCACCCAGAUCAGAUCUCCAGAACUCAGUCUGAGCUGCUUCUGGAGGUGCAAAACUAAUAGACCAAACAGAAUAAUGUUAUAAUGUUCACCCCCCAAAAAUCUCACUCAGGGUGAUCAAUUAUAUAUAUAUUUAUAGUCGCAAAGCAGCUUCACAGAAUUCCAGAAAAGACCGUUUUAACAAGAAGUGCAAAGAAAACCCAGGUGAGCAAGCCAGGGGCGACAGUGGCAAGGAAAAACUGCCUCACAACUGAGGAAGAAACCUAGUAGUGGCAGGAUUUCUCUGUCCUCACAAAGUUCCCAACUUUUUUACUUCUUACCUGAAGUGUUACUCACUUACUGAUACUCGUAUUACUUUCUGUGUGUAUAGAACCCACAUUACUGCAGCUAACUAACUAAAAGCUCUUAAUAACUACAACCUCUCACAGCAUGUGUGACUUUAUUAACACUAUUGUUGUUACUGUUGUUAUUAGUAAUAGUAUUGGUAGUAAUAUUGUACCUUCUAUUGCCUGCACAUCUUCUAUAUUUCUGCAAGUAAGAGUUAAAUAAAAAAAUGUCUAAUAUUUCCUGUCUUAGUGUGAACGUGACAUCACAAACAUCACAAAAUGUGUGAACAGGCCAAUGAGACAGAGAGCAGUAUAAACAUUAAUAAGUGAAAUUCAGAACUUGUGAACUGGCCAAUGGGACAGUUGGAAAUAUGAAUAUUAAUGAGAGCUGGAAUACCUUUAUUGAGAAGUAGCAGCUUUACUUCAGUCUGGCUCAGGUUCUUUUCAGGAACUGAGUUGGGAAACAGAAGAAACACCUGCUCAUCUUCACUCACAUGUAAUUAUGAAGUGAUGAUCACUGGUUCACAGUAUUGAUCACUGGUUCACAGUAUUGACCACUGGUUCACAGUAUUGAUCACUGGUUCACAGUAUUAAUCACUAGUUAAUAGUAUUGAUCACUGGUUCACAGUAUUGAUCACUGGUUCACAGUAUUGACCACUGGUUCACAGUAUUAAUCACUAGUUAAUAGUAUUGAUCACUGGUUCACAGUAUUGACCACUGGUUCACAGUAUUGACCACUGGUUCACAGUAUUAAUCACUGGUUCAUAGUAUUGAUCACUGGUUCACAGUAUUGACCACUGGUUCACAGUAUUAAUCACUAGUUCACAGUAUUAAUCACUGGUUCAUAGUAUUAAUCACUAGUUCAUAGUAUUGAUCAUUGGUAUGUCUUUGUAUUGUAUUUGUGUAGCAUGUCUGAAGGUUUAUUGUUGUGAAUGUAUACAGAACUGUAAUCACUAAUUCUGCAUGUUAACACCUUGUAGACUCUUAAUUUGCUAAAGAUACUUGUUAUGCAUAACAAUACAAGGUUGUUAUAACCCUGCGUGUAUGAACAGUAAAGGCUGUUUAAAUUACUGCUUAACAUCUUCAAAUGAAUGUUUGACAAAGUAAACUAUUAAAAAUCCCAUGUAACUU
ensembl:lncRNA